rnacentral:lncRNA from 14 species
CGGGUCUGAGUGAUCUGCUUUAAAUCUUACUUUUGCAUCCCGAAUCUGAAACUAGCAGUGGAUUUUUCUGUUUUUUCCCACUCUUUCUGUUUCUAGAGAAACAGCACUUCCCCCAACAGAAAUGGAUUCCUAGUCAGAAAGAUGCUUCUCCAACACAUUAUUUUGGAACCACAGGGAGGAUCACACUGCCUUUAGCAACUCAUUAGCUUCUGCCCUUGGUACAGCAUAUGCAGACCUCAAACCGCAUGCUCAAUCCUCUCUCAGUAUAUCCUUAGUUCCCUAAACCCCUAAGCAUCUCCCUGAAGCCCAACACCAUGACUUUUCUCAGAGCACAUGCCUGAUGUGGUCAAAUUAAGGAGUUUCUCUUAGUUCCAGCUGGGAGGAAUCUGUUUAGCCCAAGCAAGAGUUUUGUAGGAAAAGACACUGCUGGUCUGCUGGCACAAGUUGUUGUGAACCAGACAUCUCUUUUCUUCAUCAGCAUAAUGCCAUCUGCCACAGACAGGAAGGAAGAGAUUAAAACUGAGGAAGAACGAAGAGAAUAACACCAAUGGAAAAGACAUUUGUGAUAUGCCAAUAGCCAUGGAUA